rnacentral:rRNA from 1 species
UACGGAGGGUGCAAGCGUUGUCCGGAAUCACUGGGCGUAAAGGGCGCGUAGGCGGUCGUGCGCGUCGGAGGUGAAAUCCCCGGGCUUAACCCGGGAGCUGCCUCCGAUACGGCAUGGCUUGAGUCCGGGAGAGGGGAGCAGAAUUCCCAGUGUAGCGGUGAAAUGCGUAGAUAUUGGGAGGAAUACCAGUGGCGAAGGCGGCUCCCUGGACCGGUACUGACGCUGAGGCGCGAAAGCGUGGGGAGCAAACAGG